CACACAGAUUACUCCACACAGCAGACAGCAGUAACAGGAAACAGACAGACCUGACAGGUUCGCUGCCAUGGCCGACAGAAAAGCCGUUUUCCACAAAUUGCAUUAUGCUGGUUCAGAAUCUCCAUCCACCGGUCUCAGCCAAAGGGUGGCGUCUUUUUUCUUGGCGGCACACUGCACAUGGGCGCCUUCACGAUUUCAAAAGUGUGUGAGAUUGCUGCGAGUCAGCAAUUUGAUUGACACGCCUGUCAGCUACUGCCCUAUCCACGAAGAGGCCUGUUAUUGCUAUGGACUGCACCGGUAGGCGUGCCCAUGGACAGACGGGGUCAAGGAGUGCUCAAGUGUGAUGCCUUCGCAGCCUCCAAGUGGGAUUGGAGUGAUGUACAAUCCCCUGCAGGAUUCCACAGCUCACUCCAAGUUCCAGACAAGUAAUCAUUUCUAUUGAAGUGCACUAACCGUACAGACCAUGUUACUAUUAUUUUAACUUGGAUGCCCCAGAAAAAGAAUUCUAUUUGUUUUAGAGGUACUGUAUUUACAUCUUUACUAUUGUGGCUAUCUUUCUCAAGCUUUUCCAGUAGUAAAUACUCUCACUUUUAUUAUUGCAUUUUUAAAAUGAUGGUAAAUGGUGCAAGGCUAUCACUUGCUAACAAUUAGCACAUUAGCAACUGACAGCUGGAUCAUCCAAUUAGAUCACAGGUGUUCUGUGAAUCAGAUGAUUUCAUUGAUUUUCUCCUAAGACUGUAUUUCAUUAAAUCAGUAUAUCAUAACUUUUGUUACAGGAAUUUGUACCUAGAACUUUCUCUUUGGAAUUUGUUCUGCCCUCUUGUGCAAGGGUUUCCUCUAACAGUUCACCAACAUGCAGGACCAGGUUAUCCAGAAACUCUUAAUUGAACUUUUCAUGUUUCCUAACAACAGCUGGGUUCAGCCCCAUCACAUGUGACCGCUGCAUUUGUAAGUUAGUACCAGCCCAUAAAUCAACAAUUAAUCACGAUUAUAGAGACUUGGACGCAUCAUUUAGUUGAAACCCCACUGACGCCAGCACUAGCGAUGUGCACACACUAGAAGAGAAGGCAACACAAAUAAAAAUGUUAACAUUUAUUGCUUAUUCUGAAUACUGCGUUGAGAGCAAAAGCAUUCAGAGUAUACACAGAAAUUAUACAACUGUAUAUGGUUUCACAAAGGCAGUGAACACAUGACUGUAUUACAAUCUAAAAAAAUUCUACUUUACAGAAAUUUAAAAUCCUAAAUAUCAAAAAGUACAGCUGCAGAAACAGGUGUAGAACUGGAACCAGAAACUGCUCUGGGCAUCAGUGAAAACGACGUGGUGACAUCACAAUACAAAGCGGAGGUCAUCUUUGUACUUACAGCUGGUUUUUCGGAAACAGAAACUGGCAGAUGGAACAAAAAA